UACGUAGGGCGCAAGCGUUAUCCGGAAUCAUUGGGCGUAAAGAGCUCGUAGGCGGUUUGUCGCGUCUGCCGUGAAAGUCCGGGGCUCAACUCCGGAUCUGCGGUGGGUACGGGCAGACUAGAGUGAUGUAGGGGAGACUGGAAUUCCUGGUGUAGCGGUGAAAUGCGCAGAUAUCAGGAGGAACACCGAUGGCGAAGGCAGGUCUCUGGGCAUUAACUGACGCUGAGGAGCGAAAGCAUGGGGAGCGAACAGG
rnacentral:rRNA from 1 species